rnacentral:rRNA from 1 species
ACUCACUAGAAGGCCCCCCCUGCNANCGGANNNGGACGGAGCCCUUUGAGGGGACGCACCAACACAAGGCGGACGGCUCAGAAACACGUAGUCAACCUAACUCGUGGACGCGGAUACCCUCGGGAAACUGAGAAUAAACCGCGAUAGAUCAUUAUGCCUGGGAGGGCUUAUGGCCCAAACAGUUUACUGCCAUGGGAUGGGACUGCGGCCUAUCAGCUUGUUGGUGAGGUAAUGGCCCACCAAGGCUAUAACAGGUACGGGCUCUGACAGGACAAGCCCGGAGAUGGGUACUGAGACACGGACCCAGGCCCUAUGGGGUGCAGCACGCGAGAAACCUUACCUAUUUUUUAAAGCACGACUGGGUCAGUCCUAGUGAUUCCUGAUAAAGGAGUCUUUUAUCUGUCCUAAAAGCACAGGUGAAUAAGGGUUGGGCAAGUCUGGUGUCAGGCGCAGCGGUAAUACCAGCACCUCGUGUGGUAAAGACGUUUAUUGGGCCUAAAGCAUCGAAAAAAAAAUUUGCAAGUCUCCGGUUAAAUCCACCUGCUCAACAGAUGGGCUACUGGAGAUACUACAAAGCUAGGGAGUGGGAGAGGCAGACGGUAUUCAGUGGGUAGGGGUAAAAUCCUCUGAUCCAUCGAGGACCACCAGUGGGGAAGGCGGUCUGCCAGAACACGUUCGUCGGUGAGGGAUGCCAGCCGGGGGAGCAAACCGGAUUAGAUACCCGGGUAGUCCCAGCAGUAAACGAUGCAGACUCGGUGAUGGGCUAGCCUUGUGCCAGCCCAGUGCCGCAGGGAAGCCGGGAACUCUUACACAAGGCCUGU